rnacentral:misc_RNA from 1 species
UAGCUGGCCUCUUGAGGUAUGUGCACACCUUUAUCGCGCAUCCACAUCUCACACCUGUGCACAACCUGUAGCUUGGGAUGAUUACAAUUCUGGAAACGGUAUUGAAAGCCCUUGCUAUGAAUUUUUAAACAACCGUAUUAAAAGUUAUAGAAUGUUAUGGCGUGUAACAGCGCAAAUAAAUAUACAACUUUCAGCAACGGAUCUCUUGGCUCUCGCAUCGAUGAAGAACGCAGCGAAAUGCGAUAAGUAAUGUGAAUUGCAGAAUUCAGUGAAUCAUCGAAUCUUUGAACGCACCUUGCGCUCCUUGGUAUUCUGAGGAGCAUGCCUGUUUGAGUGUCAUGAAGCUCUCAACUGCUUUAGCUUGUUAUGGUUGAAGUGAAGUUGGAUUUGGAGGAAUGAUUAUUGCUGGCGUGACCUUUUCAGGUUGCUUGUUAGCUCCUCUUAAAUGGAUGAACUUUCCAGUAGUAAAAUAACACCAAUGUGAUAAUUAUCUACGUUGGAUGUGCUUUUUACAAGGAAAGAUAUAUCUGUCUUGAAGGCAAACACCUCUUGACGAAACAAAUGACAAAUUUGACCUCAAAUCAGGUAGGACUACCCGCUGAACUUAAGCAU